CAAAGCAGUUUUUAUACGGUGGACGUUAUAAAGCAUCUUCCCAACGUCCCCAUCAUGGGAAGACACAGAAUGUAGGCCGCGAUGGACGCUGAAAGACGGUUGGUGGGGCCCACCGUCGUCUGUCUGACAUCCACCCCGUCCCUCACUUGUGGAAGCUCAGUCUAUGAUGUGAUGAUGAUCAAGAGUAAUCAAGCGUAUACAGACUCGAGUGGGUCACUGGAAACAGUGCGGAUGAGGCGCGCACCGUUGAAAUCUUCUUCGACUCACCAAAGGUUUAGAUCAGGUUUUUAAUUCCUCUGUUGGUUAAUCCUAGCUGUAAUCAACUUGGAUGGGCCCCUAGAAGGUUUUAACGGGAUUCCAUUAUCCAAACGGGAAGGCAGAUCAUCGGGGAUAGACAACGUCACCGGCCUCAUACCCAUCAUAGACGUCCUUACCCGCGUCCUCCCUCUCCUUACAGUAACCCUCCAGUCUCCCCAGUAGGCUUAGAGUACUCCUGGCAGUCCACUUAAUAUAAACCAAUUCCACUGGAUAUGGAACUCUAGUAAGGACGUGGUUUUUGUACCUCUCUCUCUCUCUCUGUCUAUCUGUGUGUGUGACACUGUAAGAUGUGGCCAUCAUAUGGUUAAUAUUAAGUUCAUUAGAUGGUUAAUAUUAAGAGAAAAACUUUGAUAUUCUGCAAGAGUGAUGGAUGGCAUACAUGAACUUGUUACUUUAUAUUUGCAUGUGGAAUGAGAAAUCAAGUUAUACAGUUCAAAUUAU